rnacentral:rRNA from 1 species
AUGAACGCUGGCGGCGUGCCUAAUACAUGCAAGUCGAACGAGGUAGCAAUACCGAGUGGCGAACGGGUGAGUAACACGUAGGUAACCUGCCCUUAAGCUUGGGAUACCCAGAGGAAACUUGGCUAAUACCGGAUAACAACAGAGAAGGCAUCUCUUGCUUGAAAGGCCCCUUCAAGGGUCACUUAAGGAUGGACCUGCGGCGCAUUAGCUAGUUGGUGAGAUAACAGCCCACCAAGGCGAGGAUGCGUAGCCGAACUGAGAGGUUGAUCGGCCACAUUGGAACUGAGACACGGUCCAAACUCCUACGGGAGGCAGCAGUAAGGAGUUUUCGGCAAUGGGGGAAACCCUGACCGAGCAACGCCGCGUGAGCGAUGACGGUCCUUUGGAAUUGUAAAGCUCUGUUGUAAGCCAUGAAUGACAGCUUGAGGAAAUGCAAGUUGUUUGACGACAGCUUACCAGAAAGCCACGGCUAACUACGUGCCAGCCGCCGC